ensembl:sense_intronic C87198 expressed sequence C87198
CAAGCCAGUAAAGAACAUCCCUCCGUGGCCUCUGCAUCAGUUCCUGCUUCCUGACCUGCUUGAGUUCUAGUCCUGCAUCCUUUGGUGAUCAACAGCAAUGUGGAAAGUGUUUGAAGAGUCUGGAGAGAUGAGGUCACAGCUGGAAAUCACUUUUGAAGAUGGAACCCGGUCUGAGAAACCACCUGCUUCUUCCUUAGUGACUUUGUUCCUGCAGGCAGCCCCCUUCUCCCUCCUUUAAGGUCAACAUGACUGGACUUCAGACAACUGGUCAUCUAAACGGGUUCUAACUGGGCUCCUGGGAAGAACACGUACUCCCUCCCUCACAGCUGGUACUGACCAUCCUCCCCACUGACCAUUUGCUCCUAAGACAUCCUCAGAGUGCAGGAGCGCCAGCGAUCAUUCUGUGAUAAUGGGGUGAUGUCAUUGGCCAACUUUCUGGGCCAGAACUCAAUUAAAAUUCUCUGGCGUUUGGGGCCAUGACUCAGUUGGUACGGCAUUUGCACUGUGAGCAUAAGAAUAUGGAUUUGGAUGCCCAGAACCCGUACAAAAUGCCUGAUGAGGUGAUACAUACCUGUACUCCCAGGGAUAGAAAAGUGAGAGACAGUGGAUCCUUGGAGGCUCAUGGGUUAGCUGGCUGGAUCUGGAUCUAGGCUGUUGAGAUAUUCUUUCUCAAACAAAAACCGGAAGGCACCUGAGGACUGAGACCUUUGUGGAUUGCACAUACACACACACACACACACAUGCACACACACACACACGUGCAUGCACACACACAUUCACACACAUACAUGUACACCCACAUGCACACACAUGUACACACAUACACACACUCGUGCACACACACACACACUUCACAACUACCACCUCCUCCACCAUGACCCCACACAAAGUGCACUGUAACUCUUUAUGUCUCCCUACCCCGCCCCCGCGCAUCUCUUGUUCCUUUGCAGAUGUUUGAGGAACUUCUUUCCUAUGUUAAGGUUUCUUUACCCAUUGAAGAUUUCUUUUUCAGAUCCUGUUUUUUAUAUAUAUAUAUUUUAUUAGGUAUUUUC